AGUCGAGCGGAUGAGUGGAGCUUGCUCCACGAUUCAGCGGCGGACGGGUGAGUAAUGCCUAGGAAUCUGCCUGGUAGUGGGGGACAACGUUUCGAAAGGAACGCUAAUACCGCAUACGUCCUACGGGAGAAAGCAGGGGACCUUCGGGCCUUGCGCUAUCAGAUGAGCCUAGGUCGGAUUAGCUAGUUGGUGAGGUAAUGGCUCACCAAGGCGACGAUCCGUAACUGGUCUGAGAGGAUGAUCAGUCACACUGGAACUGAGACACGGUCCAGACUCCUACGGGAGGCAGCAGUGGGGAAUAUUGGACAAUGGGCGAAAGCCUGAUCCAGCCAUGCCGCGUGUGUGAAGAAGGUCUUCGGAUUGUAAAGCACUUUAAGUUGGGAGGAAGGGUUGUAGGUUAAUACCCUGCAAUUUUGACGUUACCGACAGAAUAAGCACCGGCUAACUUCGUGCCAGCAGCCGCGGUAAUACGAAGGGUGCAAGCGUUAAUCGGAAUUACUGGGCGUAAAGCGCGCGUAGGUGGUUUGUUAAGUUGGAUGUGAAAGCCCCGGGCUCAACCUGGGAACUGCAUCCAAAACUGGCAAGCUAGAGUAUGGCAGAGGGUGGUGGAAUUUCCUGUGUAGCGGUGAA
rnacentral:rRNA from 2 species